GUCGAACAAGAGUUUCCAUUGAUGUUUGCGAUACAGCGCAAUCUGUUUUCUUAAUUAAUUUCUCUUUUAUUUUCGGGAACAAACUGAUGCCACUACCUUCAUGUUCAGAUUUGGUUUCUUCAUUUUUCUCCUAUGCACAGCUCAAAAAUAUUGUGUUCUUCCUUUUCAAUGCAAUCGUUGGAAUCUUCGGGCGGAUUAUUUGUACUUGUAUCCAAAGUGACGGGAUUUCCCUCUUUAUUAUUUUUAUUCGUAUCAGGAUCUGUUACUGUCAUUCCAAAUAUUUUUCCUGGUGGUAGGCGAUUAAUUUUUUGUCCUGUCGUCACUUUUGCCAUACAAAGAGCUAUUGCAUCUUCGGCAGCCUGUUGUCGUUUCAAAGCGACCUAAAAAAAAGAAUCACUUAGCAUUUGACUAAAAUUACCAAAGUGCGAAUAUUCACUGGAUAUACAUAUAUAAUCAGAAACAGUUUGAGAUUUUGUGGGAUGAAGUGUUAUAGACGUAGGAUCGAGUGACUCUAAUGCCUAUGCAAACAGAAAUGAAAUACUAUACCGAAGCUUAAUGGAUUUUGCCUUUAAUGAUACCAGACAAGAAAAACGAUUGUGAUGAGUAAACUGUGUUUGUUACAUUAACAAAAAUGAUUUUUCACAAAAUUUUCAUGUAAGUGCAAUUUUUUAUUUGAAAAAAAAAAAUAAAUUUGCUAGUAUUAUCUUUACAAAAAGUAAUUGCAGUAUUUAAUUAAUUAAGUACCUACAAAAAUAUAUAUUUAAAUAUUUUAAUUAUUAAAUUUAUUUAAAUUUAAAAAAAAGUAGGUCA